UUAGACUCGAGCUGCGCGUACCAGAUCCCCUGGAUCUUCACAUCCUUAGGUGCCUUGGCCCCAAGGUCGGUGUCCGACGGCUGCACACUCUCGAAGACACCGAUGACCUCGCCAGUUUCCGGGUUGCUCUUGGUGACGCUCAAUGUGAUGUUGCCCGUCGACGACGCAGCGUUCUUGAUGUUCUCCUUCACGAGCUCCUCCUCGUCUCCCCUGCCUCCGGCGGGGAGCGCGACGGCGUUGUCGUACCCGGUCGAACCACCACGGCCCUUGGGGUCGAGGAAGGAGGAGCCACGGUAGCUGGGCACGAGGAAGGGCCCGCCGAAGCUCUCGGGCUUGCCGGUGGCGACGAGCUGCUUGACGGUGAAGAGGAACGGCACGCGCUCGCCUCCUGGAAGCUGCACGGUGACGGCGGCGUAGUCGAUGCCGUCCUUCUCCUCGAACUUGAGGGUGCCGUCGGAGCCGACCUCGAG
rnacentral:lncRNA from 1 species